rnacentral:rRNA from 1 species
UGGGGGAUAUUGCACAAUGGGCGAAAGCCUGAUGCAGCGACGCCGCGUGGGGGAUGAAGGCCUUCGGGUUGUAAACUUCUUUUGCUCUGAACAAGGCAUGCCUUUGGGGUGUGUUGAGUGUAGGGGUUGAUUAGCGCCGGCUAACUACGUGCCAGCAGCCGCGGUAAUACGUAGGGCGCGAGCGUUGUCCGGAAUUAUUGGGCGUAAAGGGCUUGUAGGUGGCUGGUUGCGUCUGUCGUGAAAGCUCAUGGCUUAACUGUGGGUUUGCGGUGGGUACGGGCUGGCUUGAGUGCAGUAGGGGAGAAUGGAAUUCCCGGUGGAGCGGUGGAAUGCGCAGAUAUCGGGAGGAACACCGGUGGCGAAGGCGGUUCUCUGGGCCUUUCCUGACGCUGAGAAGCGAAAGCGUGGGGAGCGAACAGG